GAACUGUUUUUUAUGAUAGUUACGAAUAAUUAUUGUUAAUUACAGGCUAAGCUUUAAUUGCUAGAAUUUAGCAAAGUUCCUAAAAAAAAAUAUAUGACAUUACACAAUAUUAUUAUUACAUCGAUUUUCACCGUUCCGACACGUUUUACAACUAUUUCGAUAGCGCAACCAAAACAAAUACAAAAAAAAAUUCUAGUUAAAAUAACAUAAAAUAUUAAAACUUGCAUUAUUUUUGUUUGAAACCGAAAAGUGUUUAAAGAGCACAACUCCGUUCCCGUACCCAGGGGAUCGUACGAUUCGCAUUGCAAAUUAACAUUAGAAUUAAGCACUAGACAAAACGAAACGCUCUAAAACAGCUCUAAUCCAAAAAUAAUAAUUAAACAAUUAAAUUGAGCUACACAAAAAAAGUAUUUAGUAUACAAUAUAUGGGUAUGCAAGGUAUUACAUAAGAAUAUCUAAGCAUAAACAUUGAAUUUCGCUAUUAAACAAAAACAAAAUCAAAUAAAAACAAUUAACGUGGCCCUGACAAACACUUCAAAAAAAUCUCCCGACCCACUACCACUCACCGCUCCAAUUAAACUCUUAAGAAACAAAAAAAAAACAGUAUAAAAACGAAAAAAAACACCAUCAAAUCUGAUAAGAAUGCUCUCUCUCUCUCAAGGACAAUGGCAAUGGUUUUGAUAACGCACUGGGGUAUGGGUGGGGGGGGGGGGGGGGGGGGGGGGGGGGGGGGGGAGAGCAGGAGGAGUACGAAAAUCAGCCUUGGUC
rnacentral:lncRNA from 1 species